rnacentral:rRNA from 1 species
ACGGCUCAGUAACACGUGGACAACCUGCCCUUAGGUUGGGUAUAAACCCGGGAAACUGGGUAUAAUACCCGAUAGGUCUCGAUUGCUGGAAUGCAUCGAGAUUUAAAGCUCCGGCGCCUAAGGAUGGGUCUGCGGCCUAUCAGGUAGUAGUGGGUGUAGCGUACCUACUAGCCUACGGCGGGUACGGGUUGUGAGAGCAAGAGCCCGGAGAUGGAUUCUGAGACACGAAUCCAGGCCCUACGGGGUGCAGCAGGCGCGAAAACUUUACAAUGCUGGCAACAGCGAUAAGGGAACCUCGAGUGCCAGGUUACAAAUCUGGCUGUCGAGAUGCCUAAAAAGCAUUUCAUAGCAAGGGCCGGGCAAGACCGGUGCCAGCCGCCGCGGUAACACCGGCGGCUCGAGUGGUAACCGUUAUUAUUGGGUCUAAAGGGUCUGUAGCCGGCCGGAUAAGUCUCUUGAGAAAUCUGGCAGCUUAACUGUCAGGCUUUCAGGAGAUACUGUCUGGCUCGAGGCCGGGAGAGGUGAGAGGUACUUCAGGGGUAGGGGUGAAAUCUUGUAAUCCUUGAAGGACCACCAGUGGCGAAGGCGUCUCACCAGAACGGACCUGACGGCAAGGGACGAAAGCUAGGGGCACGAACCGGAUUAGAUACCCGGGUAGUCCUAGCCGUAAACGAUACUCGCUAGGUGUCGGCCACGGUGCGACCGUUGUCGGUGCCGUAGGGAAGCCGUGAAGCGAGCCACCUGGGAAGUACGGCCGCAAGGCUGAAACUUAAAGGAAUUGGCGGGGGAG